rnacentral:tRNA from 1 species
GGGGUUGUGGCUCAGCGGUAGAGCAUUCACUUAGCAUGUGCGAGGUGGCUGGGUUCAAUCCUCAGCACCACA